UACGUAGGGUGCGAGCGUUGUCCGGAAUUAUUGGGCGUAAAGAGCUCGUAGGCGGUUUGUCGCGUCGGCCGUGAAAACUUGGGGCUUAACCCCAAGCCUGCGGUCGAUACGGGCAGACUUGAGUUCGGCAGGGGAGACUGGAAUUCCUGGUGUAGCGGUGAAAUGCGCAGAUAUCAGGAGGAACACCGGUGGCGAAGGCGGGUCUCUGGGCCGAUACUGACGCUGAGGAGCGAAAGCGUGAGGAGCGAACAGG
rnacentral:rRNA from 1 species